rnacentral:rRNA from 1 species
AAAAUGAAAUGACUCUCGGCAACGGAUAUCUCAGCUAUCGCAUCAAUGAAGAAUGUAGCGAAAUGCGAUACUUGGUGUGAAUUGCAGAAACCCGUGAACCAUCGAGUCUUUGAAUGCAAGUUACGCCUCAAACCAUUAGCCUGAGGGCACGCCUGCCUGGGUGUCAUGCACCGUCGCCCCCCUUAACCCCCCACCUAUUAGACUCCGAGGGAAGGGGGCAGGCGGAAGAUGGCCUCCCGUGAUCUCUUCGAUUGCAGUUGGCCCAAAAGUGAGUCCCCGACAACGAUAACGUCGUGAUCGUCAGUGGUAGAGCUCUUGGCGUGCCUUGUCCCCGGUGACGCGCGCUCAUUGUCCACCCGGACCCCCCGCUCAUGUCGUGACCCCAGGUUAGGGGGGAUCACCCAUUGAGUUUAAGCAUAUCAAUAAGCGGAGGAAAAGAAACUUACCAGGAUUCCCCUAGUAACGGUGAGCGAAUCGGGAAGAGCCUAACUUGAGAAUCGUGUGCCCCCGGUGACCAAAUUGUAGUAUGAAGAAGUGUCCUCAAUGAUGGACUGGGUCCAAGUCCUCUAGAAAGGGGCACCAGAGAGGGUGAGAGCCUCAUUGUGCUCGGAACCUAUCGCACUACGAGGUGCUAUCCGCGAGUCAGGUUGUUUGGGAAUGCAACCUCAAUCGAGCGGUAAAUUCUAUCCAAGGUUGAAUACGGGCGAGAGAUCGAUAGCGAACAAGUACCAUGAGGGAAAGAUGAAAAGGACUUUGAAAAAAGAGUCAAAGAGUGCUUGAAAUUGUUGGGAGGGAAGUGGAUUGGGGUUGACGAUGUGCCCCAGUCAAAUGUGGAACGACAAGAGCCAAUCUGUCGAUUGGCUCGAGGCGUGGACAGACGUGAGUCACGGCGGAGGCCCAAGCUUGGGCUUUCGAUGUGCUAGGGAAGACGUCUUCAUCAUGAUCAUGGAAUGCAGCACACGCCAUCUCGGCAUGCUCAGCACCCGCGUGCUCCCGGUGUCAGCCUACGGGCUUUCCAUCCAGCUCGACUUGAAACAUGGACCAAGGAGUCUGACAUGCGUACAAGUCAACGGGUCAGGAAACCCAUAAGGCAUAAGGAAACUGAUUGGUGGGAUCCCUCGUGGGUGUACCAUCGAUCGACCUUGAUCUUCUGAGAAGGGUUCGAGUGCGAGCAUGCCCGUCGGGACCCGAAAGAUGGUGAACUAUGCUUGAGCGGGGCAAAGCUAGAGGAAACUCUAGUGGAGGCUCGCAGUGAUACUGAUGUGCAAAUCAUUCGUUUGACUUGGGUAUAAGGGUGAAAGACUAAUCAAACCGUCUAGUAGUUGGUUCCCUCUAAAGUUUCCCUCAGGAUAGUUGGAGCCUCCAGCGAGUUCUAUCGGGUAACGCCAACAAUUAGAGGCAUCCGGGGUGCAACGCCCUUGACCUAUUCCAAGUGGGACAUUUUUGGUAAGCAGAACUGGCGAUGCGGGAUGAACUGAAAGCUGGGUUACGGUGCCCAACUGCAUGCUAACCCAGAACCCACAAAGUGUGUUGGUCGAUUAAGACAGUAAGACGGUGGUCAUGGAAAUCGAAAUCUGCUAAGGAAUGUGCAACAACUCACCUGCCGAAUCAACUAGCCCCGAAAAUGGAUGGUGCUUAAGCGGAUGACCUAUACCCGACCGUCAAGGCGAGGGCUAGACCCUAAUGAGUAGGAAGGCACGGUGGUCACCGUAAAACCUAGGGUGCAAGCCCAACGAAAUGACCAUCGGUGCAAAUCUUGGUGGUAGUAGCAAAUAUUCAAAUGAGAACUUUGAAGGUCGAAGAGGGGAAAGGUUCCAAGUGAACGGCACUUGCACAUGGGUUAGUCGAUCUUAAGAGAUGGGGGAAGCCCGUCCGACAGCACGUCCCGCACGAGCUUCGAAAGGGAAUCGAGUUAAAAUUCUUGAACUGGGACGCGACGGUUGAUGGCAGUAUGAGAGAGUCCAGAGACGUCGAUGGGGGCCUUGGGAAGAGUUAUCUUUUCUGUUUAACGGCCCUCUCACCCUAGAAAUGGCUCAACCAGAGGUAGGGUCCAGUGGUCGAAAGAGCACCGCUCGUCGCGUGGUGUCCAGUGCUCCCCCGGUGGCCCUUGAAAAUCUAGAGGAUCGAGUGCCAUCCAUGCUUGGUUGGACUUAUAACCGAUCAGGUCUCCAAGGUGAACAACCUCUGGUCGAUGGAACAAUGUAGGCGAGGGAAGUCGGCAAAAUGGAUCCGUAACCUCGAGAAAAGGAUUGGCUCUGAGGGUUGGGCAGAGGGUCUUAGUCCUGACCCCAUCGGUUGUCGGUGUACUGCUCGAGCUACUCUCACUGUGAGAGUGUGAUGUCACGUGUCGAUUGAUGGAUGGACCGAGAACGGCUCCCUCGAGGGCCUUCCCCGAGCGACGAACAAGUGACUCAGAACUGGUAUAGAAAAGGGGAAUCUGACUGUUUAAUUAAAACAAAGCAUUGUGAUGGUCCCUGUGGAUGCUCACGCAAUGUGAUUU